GACGAACGCUGGCGGCGUGCUUAACACAUGCAAGCCGAACGAGGGCCAGGGAGGAGUAAUCCGAACUGGACCUAGUGGCGGACGGGUGAGUAACGCGUGAACAAUCUGUCCCUGUGAGGGGAAUAACAGUUAGAAAUAGCUGCUAAUACCGCAUAGGACCACAGCAUCGCAUGGUGCAGGGGUGAAAGGGCUUCGGCCCACACAGGGGUGAGUUCGCGUCCCAUUAGCUAGUUGGUGAGGUAACGGCCCACCAAGGCGACGAUGGGUAGCCGAUCUGAGAGGAUGACCGGCCACACUGGAACUGAGAAACGGUCCAGACUCCUACGGGAGGCAGCAGUGGGGAAUAUUGGGCAAUGGGCGAAAGCCUGACCCAGCAACGCCGCGUGAGGGAAGAAGGCUUUCGGGUCGUAAACCUCUGUCGCAGGGGAUGAGAAGAAGACAGUACCCUGUGAGGAAGCCCCGGCUAACUACGUGCCAGCAGCCGCCGUAA
rnacentral:rRNA from 1 species